rnacentral:rRNA from 1 species
CAGCAGCCGCGGGAAUACGUAGGUGGCAAGCGUUGUCCGGAAUUAUUGGGCGUAAAGGGCUCGCAGGCUGUUUCUUAAGUCUGAUGUGAAAGCCCCCGGCUCAACCGGGGAGGGUCAUUGGAAACUGGGAAACUUGAGUGCAGAAGAGGAGAGUGGAAUUCCACGUGUAGCGGUGAAAUGUGUAGAGAUGUGGAGGAACACCAGUGGCGAAGGCGACUCUCUGGUCUGUAACUGACGCUGAGGAGCGAAAGCGUGGGGAGCGAACAGGAUUAGAUACCCGGGUAGUCCCUGUCUCUUAUAC